ncrna:unclassified sequences FuFi-1 RNA
GCGUGAUGCAAAUGGGCUUUGCGGAACCCAUCCCGCAAAAGUGAGCGGCACUCCCAAAGAAGCACGGCUGUUUCAUCGUGUACCUCUCGUAGAACCGGCAAGCGUCCACGCAGUGAAGCGUGUAAAAAAACGCAGCUUGCAACUGGCGGGUCAUGCAGUGAAGCAGGUAUCAAACUCACGCCGACAGUGCGGAAGGUUGCAAGGGUGUUCUGGUGAACAAAUUUGGGGGAAUACCGUCUGCGGAAACAGCCCGCAGGCGGUUUU